rnacentral:lncRNA from 1 species
AGUGAGACCACAGAGGGCUGGAUCUGAAUUGAGAGAGUCAAAUUGGCUGUACAUCAGUAUCCUGACCUGGCAAGGUGUUCCUUAACCUCCCCUCUGGAUCCCCCUUAGCACACAUCUGGGACAAUGGAGCGUUCAGCACCACGGACAGCAUUACACCCUCUUCAAGUGCUUGUUAAAGCCAUUUGUCUAUUUCAUUCUCAAG